UCUCAAUGUGGUGAAGUGGCUAACAUUGCUGUCCAAUCGGUGCUGUACACAGCCGCCCGGGUUCGAUUCCCAGCAUUGGAA